CAUAACGUUUGUGCAUUGAGUCUGUGUGUAAGUGUUUUGUUUAUGCAUCAUAUGUAGAUUAAAUUAAUAAUGUUGUGUUUGUGAAAAAAUAUAAAUUGCAAUAUGCUCAUAAUUGUAAUAUUAUCUCAUGAUUUCUUGUUCUAUGUGGCUCUGUUCUUGCAUUAAGGCAUAGGCAAGUUGAAUUCUGAGCAGGUUACAAAUUACAAGCGAAUGUAGUGUAAUAUUAUAAUUCUGAAAAUUCAAAAUGUACAUUUAAUUGAUGUUUUUAAUGAAAGUUCCAUUCUGUCUGCCUGUGUUCUUUCAUUGAGGUAAGAAAGAGCACUAGUGACAUCUGCACCCUGACUGAGACCGACAUCUCAAAUGCCCAACAGGUUGUGCAAGCCCUCAAGCCAAUGCUGGUGGCAACAAAAAUCAUCUGCGAGGAGAAGAGCCCAACAAUCUCCAUAAUUGCUCCGCUCCUUGCCCAGCUUUUGAGUGACACCACUGCCACCAUUGAAGUUUCCUCUCUCGUUAGAGAGAUCAAGACCGCCAUCCACCGAGACCUGUCCAGGCGCUAUGACUCUAUGGAGGAGAAAAAGUUCCUGCGCAUCUAGUCAGCCUUAGACCCCAGGUUUAAGUCUCUGCAGUUCCUAUUGCCACAAGACGCCCAGGACACAAACACCAAAUUAAUGGAAAUGGCUGCUGCUCUCAAGGAAGAUGAUGCAGACAUGGAUACAUUUCAAGUGAGCCCUGACGACAAGGAGGGAAACCCUGACCCACAGACUCCAGAGACUAGCGCAGUGAGUGCACACACACCAAGGAAGUGGAAGUCUGCGCUCACUGAUCUCCUUGGUCAGACAUUCAAGAUGACCCACCAACGACUGUUGGCUUCUUCCUUCGCAGAAAGAGAGGUCAAGCAAUACCUAGAUGCUCCACCACUAGCACUGACUGAUGACCCGUUGCACUGGUGGAAGUCUCAUGCUCAAGCCUACCCACUCCUUGCCAAGCUGGCCCAAAGACAUCUCUGUGUCCCAGGGACCAGUGUACCUGCGGAACGUGUCUUCUCUACAGCAGGUGUCAUAAUCAGCUCUCAAAGGAGCUGUCUCACCUCUGAGCAUGCUGACCAGUUGCUCUUCCUGAAGAAGAACAUGCUGUUUUGAAACGUUUGCACAUUACAGAUUCAGUUGAAUUUUAUUUUUGCUCUGUGUUAACUUUGUUCUUUGUGUUCAUAAAACAAUCUGAUUCUGCUUGUUCAGCAGCACUGUGUCCAUUGUUUACAGAAAAGUUGAUUACUAAGCAAUGAAAUGUUUUCUGCAUUUAUUUUGUUUUCUAAUUUUCUGUUACUUUGCAUAAAAUGUUUUUGUAAAAAAUUCUGAAUUUCUUCAGUGACACAGAUAUCGUGAUGUAUCGUGGGUGAAAUUUCUUGCAAUAUAUCGAUAAUCGCAGAAUCGCUGUAUCGUGAUAUUAUCGUUAUCGUGGGUAAAAUAUCGUGAUAGUAUCGUAUCGUGGGGUACCUAGUGAUACCCAGCCCUACUGACAACAUACACAGGGAUACUCUCAUCCGGCUGUUUGGCAACAACGUAAACAGUGGAUUCCCAUUUGUCAGAGAUUUUGUGCUUCUUUCUGAGACUCAGAUUCCUCACAAGGACUCGAUCCCCUACCUCUAAAGGCAAGGCGGUCACCUUAGCAUCCCAGCGCCUUUUGUUCAACAACUGCCGUUUUUCAGCAUUUCUUGACGCUACCUCAUUUGCGUGUCUGAGUCUUUUCUUUAG
ensembl:lncRNA